rnacentral:rRNA from 1 species
UACGUAGGUGGCAAGCGUUGUCCGGAAUUACUGGGCGUAAAGCGUGCGCAGGCGGCUCCUUAAGUCAGAUGUGAAAUCCCCGGGCUUAACCUGGGAACUGCGUUUGAAACUGGGGAGCUGGAGUGUAGAAGAGGGGGGUGGAAUUCCAGGUGUAGCAGUGAAAUGCGUAGAGAUCUGGAGGAACACCGAUGGCGAAGGCAGCCCCCUGGGCUAACACUGACGCUCAUGCACGAAAGCGUGGGGAGCAAACAGG